UCAUGGACAGCUUUUGUCUACUGUGUUAAAAACAAUUCCGUUAGUGAAAAUGUGAGCUCAUAAAAGGAACUGUUCACGUUCGCCAUGUUAGUAUCACAAACAAUCUAAUGAAGUAAUUGCUGGUAGUCAGGUCAGCCAGCAGCGAGUUCGUCCCAGCGACAACAGCGGAAUAAACUCGGCGCCUCUCCCACAGCCUCGUCUCUAUCUGCAGCAGUAACACCUCCACGAUCGGCGUGCAGCCGCUCCGCGUCACGGUACUGUACCGGCUUCUGCGUAGAAUUCAACACAACUCAACCCGCUCCGCUCCCCCCCUCUUCCUCUAGCCGGGAGCAACACAGGACCUACGACGUCCAGUUGCUCCAGUCCCGCCAACCCGGGUGGAAGUGACUCGGAGGGCAACCUGGUCCACAGGCAGAGUGUCACCGCUGUACAGCAGGAGCUUGCCUGUUCCCAAAGCCCUGCAUCAGGCUGGCGACCUGUGGCUGGGAUAGGCUCCAGCCCCCCGUGACCCUGAUAAGGAUAAACGGAAGAGAAUGGAUGGAUGAUUAAACUCUGCAACUUCCCCUGCAACUUAACAGUUUUAUUCUGUGGACUUACUCUCUGGACACUAUAACUGGACGGUGACCUUGAGAUCCACAUGUGCACUACUCGUCUUAUAUGAAAGAUAAACCCACACAGACUCCUGGAUGUUGGAGUGACAAAACGCGAAAGAAGACCGUUCAAUUUGCUCUGCAUCCUGAGGCAGUGCUGACGAGUUCAAAGAG